CCUCACCACAGACUCAAAGCAACAGGACCUAUCCACAAUGGAAAGAAAUCUUUAAAACUGUGAGCCAACAUAUUGUCUUGAGUAAAAAGAACUACAAAGGAGUACAAUGAGCAUUCAAAUUAUUCUCUUUGAAGGAAUUUAGCCAGCUAUAAUCUUCAAAGUAGAUAGUCCAAUUAAUCAAGACUUUCUGAGGGCAGAGAGAGGAUGACAGGCGUUUCACGACCGCUUCACAGACAAGCGAGCUGUAGCAAUUCGCAGCUGUACACACCAAGAAUCCCCCAGAAGAGUGGCUCAUCUAGACACAGAAAAAUCAGA